AUUCCAGCUCCAAUAGCGUAUAUUAAAGUUGUUGCAGUUAAAAAGCUCGUAGUCGGACUUCGGGCGGGCCGCACGACUCGGCUAAUGGCCGUGCUUGUGUGGUGCGCCUUCCUUCCAGCGAGUGCGUGGGCUCUUUACUGAGUCGGCGCAUGAGUUGGGAUGUUUACUGUGAACAAAUUAGAGUGUUCAAAGCAGGCCAAUGCUGUGAAUACAUUAGCAUGGAAUAAUAGAAUAGGACUUUGGUUUUAUUUUGUUGGUUUCUGAGACCGAAGUAAUGAUUAAUAGGGAUAGUUGGGGGCACUCGUAUUUCAUUGUCAGAGGUGAAAUUCUUGGAUUUAUGAAAGACGAACAGCUGCGAAAGCGUUUGCCAAGGAUGUUUUCAUUG
rnacentral:rRNA from 1 species